rnacentral:rRNA from 1 species
CUACGGGCGGCAGCAGUGAGGAAUAUUGCACAAUGGGGGGAACCCUGAUGCAGCAACGCCGCGUGGAGGAUGACGCCUUUCGGUGUGUAAACUCCUUUUAUAUGUCAAGAAAAUGACGGUAGCAUAUGAAUAAGCACCGGCUAACUCCGUGCCAGCAGCCGCGGUAAUACGGAGGGGGCAAGCGUUACUCGGAAUCACUGGGCGUAAAGGACGCGUAGGCGGGUUGGAAAGUCAGGUGUGAAAUCCUACAGCUUAACUGUAGAACUGCACUUGAAACUUCUAAUCUAGAGUAUGGGAGGGGGAGAUGGAAUUAGUGGUGUAGGGGUAAAAUCCGUAGAUAUCACGAGGAAUACCUAAAGCGAAGGCGAUCUCCUGGAACAUUACUGACGCUAAGGCGUGAAAGCGUGGGGAGCAAACAGGAUUAGAUACCCUGGUAGUC